AUGGCGAAUGCUGUCGCGAUUCCUCCGGCAAACAUGGCGGGAACAGCGAUGAAGGAGAGCCAGGUCAGUAGUGCCAUACCAGAUAAACCAUGACCACUGUAACCAUGACAACAAUAAUGUAUCUACUGGUUAUAACAAUUAACACAAUAACUCAAAGAUGACGAAAGUUACAUUUAAACACUUCGUUGUUGUUUCGAUCUGGUAUUGUUCAUUGGCACCAUGUUUUGGUUUUGCUAGUAUGUGUUAUUUUGUAUCAGUCUACUCACAUUUAAUCAAAGGAGAACGUGAUAUGAACACAUAAGUGACAAAUUUAACCAUACCUCGUACACCCUGCUCCUAAACGAGCCCCAAACAGGAGUAAGAAGCCCCCAAAGAACGCCACCGGAAGUUGCGGUCCUUUACUAGUCGUCAGGGUAUCAGAGGCGACGCCGGAUAGACAGGCACCUACCACCACAAACGACACGAAGAAAACCUGCAAGAGAGAUCCUGCCAUCGUCAUCCCUAUUCCCAGAAUUACAGGGCCGAGGAUGCUGGUGAGGAUUCCUUUGUUUUGGAAACAACAAACGAAAUCAUGUAUGGCGUCGUCCAAAUACGAUCUAGCUUUCGGGAUAGCCGACAUCACGAGAAAGCAGAUCUGACCUGGAAUAGGAAGAACGUCUUUAUAAAGGAUAUAUUGAUAAAUGUUGUAAUGCUAACAGAAUAGACCUUUUCGUUAUUAAUUUUUUCAUUAUCCUUUUUUCAUUAUUUGUUUUGUUCAUUAAACAUGCAAUUUUGUUUCGUUA